rnacentral:rRNA from 1 species
GUCGACGAUGACCACUUCGGUGGGGAUUAGUGGCGAACGGGUGAGUAACACGUGGGCAAUCUGCCCUGCACUCUGGGACAAGCCCUGGAAACGGGGUCUAAUACCGGAUACUGAUCCUCGCAGGCAUCUGCGAGGUUCGAAAGCUCCGGCGGUGCAGGAUGAGCCCGCGGCCUAUCAGCUAGUUGGUGAGGUAACGGCUCACCAAGGCGACGACGGGUAGCCGGCCUGAGAGGGCGACCGGCCACACUGGGACUGAGACACGGCCCAGACUCCUACGGGAGGCAGCAGUGGGGAAUAUUGCACAAUGGGCGAAAGCCUGAUGCAGCGACGCCGCGUGAGGGAUGACGGCCUUCGGGUUGUAAACCUCUUUCAGCAGGGAAGAAGCGAAAGUGACGGUACCUGCAGAAGAAGCGCCGGCUAACUACGUGCCAGCAGCCGCGGUAAUACGUAGGGCGCAAGCGUUGUCCGGAAUUAUUGGGCGUAAAGAGCUCGUAGGCGGCUUGUCACGUCGGUUGUGAAAGCCCGGGGCUUAACCCCGGGUCUGCAGUCGAUACGGGCAGGCUAGAGUUCGGUAGGGGAGAUCGGAAUUCCUGGUGUAGCGGUGAAAUGCGCAGAUAUCAGGAGGAACACCGGUGGCGAAGGCGGAUCUCUGGGCCGAUACUGACGCUGAGGAGCGAAAGCGUGGGGAGCGAACAGGAUUAGAUACCCUGGUAGUCCACGCCGUAAACGGUGGGCACUAGGUGUGGGCAACAUUCCACGUUGUCCGUGCCGCAGCUAACGC